rnacentral:lncRNA from 1 species
UGGGAGGAGCUUAUAUUAAAAAUAAUAUAGCUCUUUUCAUGGACCAAUGUAUAAAUUUUUGGCAAAAAAUUUAUAAGGUUUUAAAAAAAAAAUUUUUUGCCUUUUUUUAAAUAAAAACGAAACCCUGUUUUAAGUUAUUUAAAUAACUUAAAACAGGCCUGGAUCCGGGUCGGAUUUUACCCGGAUCCGGCUAAGGCGCAUAUGCGCGUGCACCCGGAACCUUGUAAUGAAGGACAGUGCCCUGAUUACAGAUGGAGCAAUAAGCAUAAAAAAUAAAAAUAUUGAAAUAAGUCAAAACUUCGUUAAGACACUUUCAACACAGCCAUGCUGCCUAGCACUGAUAUUCUAGGUCGUCUACCUCCGGAGGUUGGUCUCCCAUAUCUGUAUCGUACUAUGCCCCAAAGGAUGACAAGUUGACAACAACUCUUUUAUUUUUGUAGGUCUCAGGUCGAAACUUUUCUAUCGCAUGAUUUCUAAUGAUUAAAUAACUAAAAAUGCUGCCUCAGGAGAUUAAUCUCUCACAUUUGCAAGUAGAUAUCUCCAUCUGGAAACAGCUGGCUUUCUUGAGAUCUUCUGAUCUGUAAGAUAGGCUGAUGACCCUAAUGAUUCCAGGAGCCACCUGCAGAAAAAAGAGCUCUAUGUGCACAUAAAUCUGCACAAUCAGGAAAUUGUGAUUUUCCCAACUGUUGGAACUUUAAUUAUUAAAAUAAAACCCUUACUUGGGUAAAUCAGGCAGAUCCAUCUUGGGAUCUGCAACCGCUAAUAACACAUUUUCAAAUUUGAAAUUUCAAGUAUGCAAUUGGAAUUCUGUGCAUGGGAAACCCUG